CAUCAGCAGGUUGCUGUUAGUGCUCCUUUUCUGUUUCAUAUCCCACCUUUAUAUGUGUUGCCAGCCUUAGAUUUGAUGGAAGUGUUUUAGUGAAGUUCUAAUCAGUUCACACAGUGUGCUCCUCAUUACUCAAAGUUUGGCAAAUCACCAACAUAUUUGCUUUUUAAGUCACAUUAGGCUUGACAAAACUGGCCAGUUGAAGAUGGAUAAACGUAUUCUGGUGCGAUGAAUCUCUGUUUCUGCUGAUCGACUGCAUGAAUCCACCGACACCACCUGCCUUCCUGAAAGAGAUGGCAGCAGGAUACACAACAGGAAGAAGGCAAACCAGCAGUGUGAUGUUCUGGACAAUGUUCUGCUGGGGAAAACUGGGUCCCACUUUGUUUUUCAGGGACAAGUGUGGGAAAGCAGCAGAGUGAUGCAAACAGGAGCAACAUGGCAGCAGAGAGUGUCUGUCAUGCAGUGCCCUCAGCAAGAGUCUCCAAGGACUUUUUGUGGAGAAAUGGGGCACGUUUGGCCCAAAACACUCAUGCAACAUGAAUAUGGCUAAUCUCAAAAACAACGCAGACCAAUGAUAAGUCAUCAGAGUCAACUUUUCCCUGAACAGUGUGUGCGGGAAGUGGGUCGCUACCAAGUGUGAAAAUAAUUUAAAAAUAAAACUUAGUGACG
ensembl:lncRNA